CCCAGUAACGGCGAGUGAAGCGGCAACAGCUCAAAUUUGAAAUCUGGCGCAAGCCCGAGUUGUAAUUUGCAGAGGAUGCUUUUGGUGCGGUGCCUUCUGAGUUCCCUGGAACGGGACGCCGGAGAGGGUGAGAGCCCCGUACAGUUGGACACCAAGCCUUUGUAAAGCUCCUUCGACGAGUCGAGUAGUUUGGGAAUGCUGCUCUAAAUGGGAGGUAAAUGCCUUCUAAAGCUAAAUACCGGCCAGAGACCGAUAGCGCACAAGUAGAGUGAUCGAAAGAUGAAAAGCACUUUGAAAAGAGGGUUAAAAAGUACGUGAAAUUGUUGAAAGGGAAGGGCUCGUGACCAGACUUGCGCCCGUCGGAUCAUCCGGCCUUCUGGCCGGUGCACUCCGGCGGGCUCAGGCCAGCAUCGGUUCUUCUGGGGGGACAAAAACGGCGGGAACGUAGCUCCUCCGGGAGUGUUAUAGCCCGCCGCAGAAUACCCCCGGGGGGACCGAGGACCGCGCUUCGGCAAGGAUGCUGGCGUAAUGGUCACCAGCCACCCGUCUUGAAACACGGACCAAGGAGUCAAGCAUUAGGGCGAGUGUUUGGGUGUCAAACCCGCACGCGAAAUGAAAGUGAACGCAGGUGAGAGCUUCGGCGCAUCAUCGACCGAUCCUGAUGUUUUCGGAUGGAUUUGAGUAAGAGCCUUACCGCUUGGACCCGAAAGAUGGUGAACUAUGCUUGGAUAGGGUGAAGCCAGAGGAAACUCUGGUGGAGGCUCGCAGCGGUUCUGACGUGCAAAUCGAUCGUCAAAUCUGAGCAUGGGGGCGAAAGACUAAUCGAACCUCUA
rnacentral:rRNA from 1 species